GGCGAGUUGGCGGAAUGGCUACGCAACGGAUUGCAAAUCCGUACCAUACCGGUUCGAAUCCGGUACUCGCCUCCA
rnacentral:tRNA from 1 species